rnacentral:rRNA from 1 species
CCUACGGGGGGCAGCAGUGGGGAAUAUUGCACAAUGGGGGAAACCCUGAUGCAGCGACGCCGCGGGAGUGAAGAAGUAAUUCGUUACGUAAAGCUCUAUCAGCAGGGAAGAAACACUGACCUUACGGUCAGCAGACGGUACCUGAGUAAGAAGCCCCGGCUAACUACGUGCCAGCAGCCGCGGUAAUACGUAGGGGGCAAGCGUUAUCCGGAUUUACUGGGUGUAAAGGGAGCGUGGCCGGUGCGCCAAGUCUGGAGUGAAAUGCCGCGGCUUAACUGCGGAACUGCUUUGGAAACUGGCGAACUAGAGUGCGGGAGGGGUAAGCGGAAUUCCUAGUGUAGCGGUGAAAUGCGUAGAUAUUAGGAGGAACACCGGUGGCGAAGGCGGCUUACUGGACCGUAACUGACGUUGAGGCUCGAAAGCGUGGGGAGCAAACAGGAUUAGAUACCCUAGUAGUC